rnacentral:misc_RNA from 1 species
GAACGCACAUUGCGCCCCUUGGUUUACCAGGGGGCAUGUCUAUCCGAGCGUCGUUACACCCCUCAAGCCUGGCUUGGUCUUGGGGCGCGUCCUGCCUGGCAGGGCCGCCCUCAAACGUAACUCGACGUGCCUUUUGUUCGGGAGCGCAGCAGUUUUGCGGCUUUCGCUGGUUCCGUGGAGCCGCCUCUGGCGGACCUCUCUGGUUGACCUCGGAUUAGAUAAGGAUACCCGCUGAACUUAAG